CAAAUAUCUAAGCUUAGCUGGAUCUAACUCUCUCAAUAAAUUGAUUGCUGGAAAAAAGAAUAAAUCGAAUCGAAAAAUAAUAAAAAAAAUCUUUCCAACUUGGUUUCUCUCGAUCUUUCUUUCUCAUCUCUCUCUCUCCCCUAUUUUCCCCUCCUCCCCCUCGCUCUUUCUCUCCUGCAAACUUGGUUUUGAUCACCCUCGUCUCUCCUUGCGAAAUUAGGGGUUUGGAUCUGAAUAUCUACAGCGUUUGUGGGAGAGUGAGUGAGUGGUCUUUCAGUUUCAGCGUUAAUUCAUCCUCAAUUCCUAUGAUUUGAAAUCAGAAUCUCUAGAUACCGACUUUAGACUCUACCUUUGCUCUUAGGGUUUUACUUCUGAAGCAACUGAGAUGGUUGGUUCACCGAAUCCGAAUGGAUCAUCAUCGCCGACCAAAAAGUACGGCAUCACGAACCCAAUCUCUGUGGCGGGUCCCACCGACGCGGAUCUUCAUCGGAAUGAUUAUUUGGAAAAGUUCUUGAUCAAUUCGGGGCUUUACGAGAGCCAAGAAGAAGCUGCUAGGAGAGAGGAGGUUCUUGGUCGCAUUGCGGAGAUUGUAAAGGAUUGGGUGAAGCUGUUAACUCGCCAAAGAGGCUAUACAGAUCAGAUGGUGGAGGAUGCAAAUGCUGUCAUAUUCACUUUUGGGUCCUACAGAUUAGGAGUGCAUGGGCCUGGGGCUGAUAUUGACACCCUUUGUGUUGGGCCAUCCUAUGUGAAUCGAGAGGAGGAUUUUUUUAUUGUUUUGCACAAUAUACUUGCUGAAAUGGAAGAAGUUGCAGAACUUCAACCAGUUCCUGAUGCACAUGUUCCUGUAAUGAAGUUCAAGUUCCAAGGAAUUUCAAUUGAUCUUCUGUAUGCAAGUAUAUCUCUUUUGGUUGUUCCAAAAGAUCUGGACAUCUCUCAUGGAUCUGUGCUAUUUGAAGUGGACGAGCAAACUGUUCGAAGUCUUAAUGGGUGUAGGGUAGCAGAUCAAAUUCUUAAACUUGUCCCAAAUAUAGAGCAUUUUCGUACAACUCUCAGAUGUUUAAAAUUUUGGGCCAAAAGGCGUGGUGUUUAUUCAAAUGUUACUGGAUUCCUUGGUGGUGUCAACUGGGCUCUUUUAGUUGCUCGAGUAUGUCAGCUUUAUCCCAAUGCAAUUCCUAGUAUGCUGGUUUCUAAGUUUUUCAGGGUUUAUACACAAUGGAGAUGGCCAAAUCCUGUAAUGCUCUGUUCCAUUGAGGAGAAUGAACUUGGGUUCCCUGUUUGGGAUCCUCGUAAACACCCUCGAGAUCGAUUUCAUCUUAUGCCCAUAAUAACUCCUGCGUACCCAUGCAUGAAUUCUAGUUACAAUGUCUCAGCAAGUACUCUGCGAGUUAUGACAGAGCAGUUUCAAUGUGGUAACAGAAUUUGUGAGGAUAUUGAGUUGAACAAGGUCCAGUGGAGUGCUCUGUUUGAACCUUAUCUAUUUUUCGAGGCAUACAAAAACUAUUUGCAGGUGGAUAUUCUUGCAGCGGAUGCUGAUGAUUUGCUUGCAUGGAGGGGCUGGGUAGAGUCUCGGCUUAGACAGCUUACACUUAAGAUAGAGCGGGAUACAAAUGGGAUGUUGCAAUGCCAUCCUCAUCCACAUGAGUAUCUAGACACAUCAAGGUCAUCUGCACAUUGUUCUUUCUUCAUGGGCUUGCAGAGGAAAGAGGGAGUGAAGGGUCAAGAAGGUCAGCAGUUUGACAUCCGCGAAACAGUUGAUGAAUUUAGGCAAGACGUGAACAUGUAUGUGUUCUGGAAACCUGGGAUGGAUAUGUUUGUUUCACACGUUCGUAGAAAGCAGCUCCCUGCCUUUGUGUUUCCUGAUGGGUACAAACGGUCUCGAUUGUCAAGACAUAUAAGCCCUCAGGCCAAAAAGUUUAGCGAAGAUGCUGCAGGGUGCCAGCCAUCGUCUGCUGAAAAGAAGAGGAAACAUGAUUCUGAUGCAGUGGUUCCAAAGUCAAGCAAACAAAAUAAGCAAGACUCUGCUAGCCCACAAAGGCCAUCUUCUGUGUCCCCUAAUAGUAAUUUGUCUGGUGGUGUUAAAUUGGAGCUCCUAGGAACUGAUUAUUCCAACUGUGGUUCUGAGUUUAGGUCUUCUGAUGGAAUCUUGGAGAGUGAGAAUAAUAUAUCAGGGAAGAAUGUGGAGAUCUUCGAAAAUAUCACCCCAGAACUCGUUUCUAGUCAUUUAACUUUACAGCCCAAAGAAACCAGUGGAGAUGCUGCAGUAUCCCAGCCAUCCUCUGCUGAAAAUAAGAGGAAUAAUGAUUCUGAAGCAGUGAAUGUGAAGUCAAUCAAACAACAGAAGCAACACUCGGUUAGUCCACAGCAACCAGCUUCUGUGUCUCCUAAAAGUAAUAGGACUGGUAGUGUUAGAUUAGAGUGCCUGGAAACUGGUGAUGUAAAUUGCAGUUCUGAGUUUGGGUGUUCUGGUGGACUGUUGGAGAGUGAAGAGCUUAUGCCUAGCAAUAAUGUAGAGAUGGCUCAAUAUGCCAGGAAGGAACUUGUUAUAAGACACGUUAGUCAACAGGCUAAAGAAUCUAGAGAAGAUGCUGCAGGAUGCCGGCUUUCUUCCUCUGCUACAAGAAAAUGUCAAAGUGAUUCCGAAGCGAUGGAUGUGAAGCCUGUCACAGCACAGAAGCAAGCCUCUACAAGUUCACAACAAUCAGCUUCUGAAUCUCCGGAAAGUAAUAGGUCUGAUGGUGUUAGGCUAGAGUGCCUUAGGAAUGGUGGUGAAAAGUGCACAUCUGAGGAUACAAUUGGGAGUCGUGUAGAGAUGGCUCAGAAAUCUAUGCAAGAAUCCAUUUUGCCUGGGCCUGGGGAUGAGUUCAGGCCAGUUGAUUUUAGUGAGUCUGGUGUCUCAUGUGUUGUACUUUGUUCAGAAUUCAAGGAUACGCAGCAGAUUGGACAUAAUGGUAAUGGAGACAGAGUUGAGAAUUUGACAUUAGUUGACAUGGAAAAUGUGGAGAGUACAUCUUCCGGGAGGCGGCUGAAUUGGGCAGAAGGUGCUGUUGAUGUUGACCCAGAGCUAGUCAAGCCAUGUAAUCAAACAUCAAUCAUAGAAAAUGCUGAACAGGCAUUUAAACCAAGCUCUAAUGUUAAGAUCCUCAAUUGCGAGGUGAGUUUCUCCAUUUGAAGACUUUGGAUUAGGAAUUGUUGAGGAUGGCUGUGAGAUACUGGAAGUUCUAGAGAUAGUGAGUCAGGGGUCUUUGCAGGGUGAUGUAUGUGCUGGUGCAGGUUCGGAUAGCUUCACUGCCGGGAGUGGGUUGCUUCAGACUGGGUUAUAAGAAGAAUUUGAGGUCUUGCUUGAACUUAAAAACUUAUUUAUUCAGCUACUUAUGUGGGUUGCCUUUUGCUUUGCUUUCCUAAUCAUGUGGUAGCUGGUAUGGUUAACCCAUAGCUCCCAUUAUGAUUUUGCUUCGCUAUAGUUUGGUAUUUUCCUUCUAGCUAAAUGCUGCACCUGGAAGUAUGGUAUGCUCUAAAGAGGGAGUGAGGUCAGACUUUAUAGAAAACAGUGACAAGGCAUGUCUUUGAAACCUGAUCUUUUUAAUACGAACCAUUAUGUCUUUAUACUGGCCUGGUUUUUGUGUGGCUCUUGUGUACCAGGUUAUGUCUGAGAUCUGCAUUAUAACAUCUUACAAGAAAGAAUGGAGUCCCUCAUAUGAAGAAAGCCAGCAAAAACUCGGUAAGUGUGUGGUUAAAUGCUGGCUUUUGUGGCUCUCAUUAUGGUUUUCCAGGUGCAUAUGUGCGUGGUAGCAUUGGGGGUGGAACAGGACUAAGUUGGCCAUGUGAAGACCUGAUGCAUAUCUGAGUGAUUUAGCUUAUGGUUUUGUGGAUUUGAAGAGGAAUUUGCGGAGCUGUUGAAGUGCAAGCACCGAAGAAGCUUUGGGCAAAUGCUGGUGCAAAGACUUCUCUGCUUUGUUUGAUCAGUUUUUUCAUACUUCAUGCACACAUAAAGCUCAAUCAUUGUGCGAUUUUAUGAUGUUUCAUCUAAAAUUUGCGGCAAGUUAGAUGUUGAAAGCACAAUGUGCUUUUACCUUCUCACCGAUUGCGAUGACUUGUCAACAAUUCGUUUUUUAACAGCUUAUCUUUGUUCUCUAUUUCUCUUGAUCAAAUGUGAUAAUUAUUCUGCAAGUAAUUAGUUAUGCUGGCCAGUAUUGGUAUAACAUUACUGCUGCUGUUGUCAAUUUUUCUUUUACCUAAUUACUGUAAUUUUAAAAUAGAACAUUGAUGAAAUUGCUAUGAAGUGAUUCCAGUCUACGCUUA